GGUUACCUCUUCUGUCUUUGUACAUAUUACUUUUUAUAUGAUCAGUUUCCUUAUAAUAAUUACAGUAUAAAAGUGAAUAUUUCUAUUUCCCUAGUGAAGGGUUAAAACAUGCUUUAUGAACUCUUAUGUGUUUGCAAUGGAUGCUGCUGCCCUGUGUUAGAUGCCUUUGUCUCUCAUACAGAUACCAGGCUUGUGUGGGUCUGGCAUCCAAGGUCAGCUCUCUACUAGAUGAAACCUGCUUUUUCUACUUCUGUGUGUUACUAAAAGAUCCUUUGUUAAGUUUCGCCUGAUGCAACAUAUAUAACAUCUGCCUGGCAACUGCUAUAUCCAAUUAUGUUAUGUCAAGUAUUAACCACCCCUACGUACCCCACCCAGGCACCUACCCCUAAGCCAAUGAGCCCUUUUACACUUGUCAGUUCCACCCAUAUGCAUUGUCUUAUAUACUCUUGUUAACUUUAUAAUAAACAGUGUGAAUUUUAACUGCUUGUGUGUGCAUGUACCUUGUGGUUAAAAGUUUACACUCCAGACGUCUGUAAGGCCAUCACAUCGAGGGUUAAAGAAAAUAAGGUCAAAUCCUUUCAGCUGGGGGUUAUGUCCGGGAUUCAGUGAUCGUCCCCGAAUAAUAAAGAUAGAAGAUUUAUUGUCUGUCUUUGCUAUGCGGGAUUGCGGUCAUACACUGAAGCUGAAUCCGUGUCAGUGUUCCGGGAACACGUGACAAGGUAAUAUUUAAGUCCGGGACUUAAUAUUACGAAGUUUUUAAAACAGGUAUCAGGGAUACCAUAGAAUCUUUAAUGUCUGGGACUUAAAGAUACGUCUGAGAAGGGACCAGGGGUCCGAGCGCACUUCUCCAAAGACGUUAGUAUCUGGGAUACUUAAAAUAGACCUGGGAGUCUAUACGUAACGUAGAGAAUACCCCGAUUUGAUCGCCUAUAUAUUUCUGUAUGUUUGUAGUGAGAUAAGUUCUUAUAUUUGGUCCAGACGGCUGGUAAGUUUUCGUCUGCCAGAUAUCUUUACUCAAACACUUUUCUUGCUUCCUGUCUAAAACGCUGUAUUUUUUCUGACAUCUUGUACGAAGGUAAGCGUACCCGUCAAAAGAUUUCAUGUUCUCAUUAUACAGAUAAUAUUGUGAUAUUGUCAAUGACUAAUUAACUGGUGUUAGCUAAUGCAUGCAUAGAAAGUUUUUGUAAAUUGCAUUUUUUUUGUUGUGAAAUUUCAUAGAAAGUCUUUUUGUUGUGAAAUUGCAUAGAAGGUUUUUUUUGUAAACUGCAUUUUUGUUGUGAUAUUGCAUAGACAGUUGUUGUGGGUUGUUGUGGAAAUUGCGUAGAAAGCUGGUGUAGAUUGCAUUUUUACUAUGGGAGGGACCUAUGUAUAAGUAGAGUGUCGUAUAUUUUAGAUAAUUUUCUUUUAAAAAGUUGUACUGUUGAUUUAUAUUACUGUCUGACAAUGGGCUCUAGUCAGAGUAAAAAAAACUGCAUAUCCCCCGCCCCUCCCUGGUGAGACAUGCAGGAUGUAUGUUGCCCGUAACUCUACCUCAGAGUAUUAUUUAGUUAACCCAUGGGUGGAUAAUUUAGCGGGAUGGACAGAGAAAGCAGGACGGGACCCAUUCCUACGGGAAGGCAGUAAUUACCUUUUCUAUAUGGAGAUUUAAGAAAAAAUGUCAGUUUCCAAUAGCACAGAAGCGAAGCUGCAGAGGAAUUGUAAGUCUUUGAAAUCCCUCUCGCCCCCCCCCCCCCCCCUUUUUUGCAUUCCAAUGUAUCCUGCGCUCAGAGACACAAAUCUCUUGGCAGCAGUAACCCUUUCACACUAAAUGGGAUCGCUUCCAACUUCACUGCUGGAGGGUGCGUCCACUAGCUCUAUCCCUAACGCACCAAUAACCCAGAGUUUAGAUAAUAGUAAAACACUGUCCCAAGCCCACCAUUACCCUCGAUGGCUGUAUAUCUUAUUUACGCAAAACUUGCAAAGGACGCAGCUAUACACAUAUGAAGGAAGUUUUUUUUGCCUGUGUUUUUUUUGCCUGUCGCUGUAGCUUGUAAAAAGAAACCUGCGCCCACUCAUAACUAUCAGAGCUCCAGACGCUUUGACAGACAGAACCAACCCCGCAGUCAGGGAACAUUCCAAAGACCCCGCGCACUGACGGGGCCCGGAGGAGGGUAUCCCAGCCUUUAUUCAACUCUCCCGUCAUAGUGAGAUUCACCUCUGCUGCCACUUAUUAUAAAUGGAAGUAAAAUUCCCUUUUUAGUGGACAGCGGUGCAGCAGCCAGUGUUUUGUGUUCUGACUUAUGCAAUACCCCCUCUCACCAGAAAAGAUAGAAGGUCUCCGCCCCAUGAUACAGCAAUUCUUACAACAGGGUAUCUCAGACAUAUUGUAUCACCAUACUGUACUCCUGUGAACCCUGUUGCCAAAGCUGAUGGUAGUAUGGGAUUUGUACAGGAUCUCAGAGCGAUCAAUCAGUUAAUUGUCCCAAUUGCACCAAUUGUUCCAGAUGUAAACUCACUCAUUUCUGCAAUCCCUGCAGAUGCUGUGUUCUUCUCUGAAAUUGAUUUGAAGAAUGCCUUUUUUUUCAGCAUACCUGUAGAUUCACAGACACAAUUACUUUUUGCCUUUUCUUUUGAGGGUAAACAACUUACCUGGUGCAGAUUAUUGACGCACCUGUUGUCUCCAGGCCACAUUGAGGCCCUGGCAACCUCACCAUGGUUCAGUCCUGCUACAGUAUGCAGAUGAUCUGCUGCUCUGUAGUAAAACUGAGGAGGCCUGCCGAGAGGAUGGUGUUUCAUUACUAAACUGGCUUUGUGAAUGUGGACACAAGGUGUCCAAAAUAAAAAUGCAAUGGUGUAAAAAGCAUGUUGAUUACUUAGGUUUUGUGCUCACUCAGGGAGAGAGAAAAGUCAGUCCACAAUGCAUACAGUCUGUAUUGGGCCUGGUCACCCCAACUACCCAGAAGGAACUACUGUCCUUCCUGGGUAUGGUAAAUUACUGCAGACAGUGGAUAUCUGAUUGCUCUUAUUGUGAUAACAUUUUGAGACAAGCCACACUGAAGGACAAACCUAAAACUGUACAAUGGUCACAAGAAAUGUUAACUGCAUAUGAAAGUUUAAAAUGUAUGUUGAUGAAAAGUCCGGCACUUGGCCUCCCCAGUUAUGUACUACCUUUCCAUCUAUAUGCAAGGGACAAUUGUAAAACCAUGGCGGGGGUGCUCACACAGUUUCAUGGAGGGAAGUUGCGCCCCGUGGCAUUUUUUUUCCAAAGUCAUGCCAGUGUCUGUGCAAGGUAUGCCUGCCUGCCUCAGGGCUUUGGCAGCCUGUGCAAUGGUUGCAGAAAUGGCCACUACCCUCACUUUAGGCCACAUCACAGUACUCCACACCACACAUGAUGUCCUGGCAAUACUUAAAGGCUUACACACAGCACAUGUCAGCACAACGCCUUAGUGGAUAUGAAGUACUCCUUUUGAGUAACCCUACCCUUACCAUUAAGUACACUGCUGGUUCUUCUGGCCCUGCACCCAUUCUCAAUGCCCUUUUAGGCUUGAAAGGUCCCGAGGAUGAACCACCCGACCUACAUGACUGUGCUGCUUCCAUUGAAGCUGAAACUUCUCCCAGACUUGACAUGUCUCCCGUUCCCAUACCAGGCACAGACAUUGUUUUUGUUGACGACUCCUGUAGUAGGCCCAAUGACAAUACAUACCAGGCUAGCUAUGCCAUUGUCACCCUCCCUGAUACUGUGUUGGAAACCCUACCAAUACCUUAUCAGUCCGCGCAAGCUGCAGAACUCAUUGCACUCACUAGAGCAUGUCCCUCCCUUGACAACGUCCAUCUGCUCACUCAACUUCAAGCUGCUGCGACUAAUACUGAUCUCUCCGACUGGACUUACCCAAUUCUGCAGAAAAAAUCCUAAAUCAGGAUUAAUCUGCAAAGAGGGGAAACCCUGUAUACCCCAGUCCAGUGCCCCUUUGCUCGUUGCCCAGUGCCGUGGUGUUGGUCACCGUGGUGAAGCCACAACACUCCUCCUACUAACCAGUGAUUUUUAUGUUACUAAUGCCAAAUCACUUGUGGACCAGUAUGUUAGCAGAUGCAUCACUUGCCUCAGGAACAACCCUAAUAAAGCUAAACACCAGCAUCUUGAAUACCCCACAGAAAACUCUAGGUUACUCCCCAUUUAAAAUACUAAUGGGCAGGCCUUUUCCUACACCCUGGGCUAGGAAACCACUAGUAAUACAGGAAGGAGAUCUAGAACUCAUCAGAGAAGAGUAUGUCAGGUCCCUGAUAACAAAACUGAAUGAAAUUGAACAUGAGGUUGUUUGUAAAAACCCUUUUGAAUCCACAGGAACCUACACACCCCUUUAAAGUCGGAGACAGAGUCGUGGUGAAGGUGCUCCCCAGGAACAAGAGCCCAGGAGACUUCACCUAUGGUCCAGAGACAGAGGUCGUAGCAGUUACCCGAACAGCAGUCCUGACAGAGGAAAGUCCUACCUGGAUCCAUGCAUCCCGAGUAAAAAAGGUUCCUAGACCAGACCUAGAGAGGGAAGCAAGUGAUUCCAGUGAGGUACGAACCGGGGCAGACAGCCCUGACCUCCCACCUAGCGAAGAAAGAAGAACAGAAGAAGAUGAGGAACCUGUCCCCUAUCUUUAUCCUGGGGACUACCUUGAUAGCCCUACUGGCCCUCACUCACCACACAAUAUGUGAGGUUGAUAUUACACAGACUAAUGGGAUCCCCACCUUGUGGUACAAUUCCUCCAAUACACACGUAGCCACAUAUAUCCUUGACUAUUUUAUGUUCCCCAAAAUUGCUGAUGACAAAUAUUAUAUACAACAAAGGAGGAAAUCAGGAAUGUCUGAGACAGUAUAUAUUUGUGUUACUGACGAAUGGUACUAUGACAAUAGAUAUUAUGGAUCUAAUUGUAAUUCCUGGGAAGCUGUGGGGUGGAAUACAGGAGUAGAUUGGAAAUAUGGCCCAUCGUUUGCAAAGAAUAGAUGGAGCAAAUAUGGAGUACCCCUACUUUCUAGACUAUCCAUUCAUAAGAUGGAUGAAGGCCCAAAUUCAUACAGGUUUAGACUAAACAUAGUGAACCCUAGCAGAAGCGACAAUGAGACUUAUGUACUUGGUAUAUGGUGGCAAGCAGGGUAUUAUAGUGCAAGGCAAAUGUUUUAUUUAUGGGAUAUGUAUAAAAACCCAAAAUACCAGCCUAAAAUUGCUCCCCAAAACAAACCUUUAAAGCCCCAUAUUGCCACUUUUAAAGAUAUGGUGGCUAUUACUAACCCUACCUUUGAAGACACCCUAGCUAUUGAAACUGGUUUCUCUGACAUUAAUUUUUGGUUGGAAUGGAUGAAGUAUAGUGCUAACAAACACAAUAAAAGCAACUGUUAUGUCUGUGGCAAAUCUAGGCCCCACCUAGGUACAGUGCCCCUUAAUAUACCCCUAGAACAAGAAAAUUGUUUUUUUUCAGCCUUUUUAAUGACACCAAAACAAAUGACAGUCAGUGCGAAAUGUGGAAAAGGGAAUAUCCCAUAUUGUCAAAAAAUCCCAACCCAGGAAGCACCAUAACCAUAUAUCCUGGAAACUAUACCUGUUAUACAUCUAACAUCACCCCAGGGAGAAAUUUAAAAACCUUCCCACCAGGGUAUUGUGCAAAUAAAAGAACAACUGUUUUAGUCAACCAAACUAGAUCAUUAGGCGACAUUUAUUACAUAUGUGGGAAACUGUAAAUAAAAACGUAGCCUGGAUUAAUUAUAUAUAUUAUAAUCAACAAAGAUUUGUUAAUGAUACCAAAGAUGCUCUUAAAGGUAUAGCUGAACAGCUAGAAGCCACUUCCCAAAUGACAUCCCAAAAUAGAAUGGCCCUUGACAUGAUCCUAGCAGAAAAAGGCGGUACAUGUGUUUACAUUAGUAAGGUGGAAGGCUGUUGUACAUAUAUUCCUGACAACACUGGUCCCAAUGGUAAGGUUACUUUAGCCAUAAACAAGUUAGAAACCUUAUCCAUAGAACUUAAGAAAAAUUCAGGUAUUGAUAACCCAUGGAGCCAAUAUUUUGGGUGGUUUGAAAAUUGGAAACAGGCUCUUGUGCAAAUAAGCAUAUUUAAACUCAUAACUUUAAUUCUUUUAGGCAUUAUAGUUUAUUGUGUAAUUCCCUGUGGAAAGAAACUUACCUCCAAAGGCAUUGAUAAGGCCCUGAUGUAUUAUGACAUAACCACCAGUCCUGUCACCUCCUCUGAUAGUAAGGGACCCGACGAUUAUGUCCAAUAUCUCAAGAACUGGAGGAACAAGAAAGGAGCCUCACUCAAGAAUCAUGUCAUAUAAUAAUCAUGAUUCUAAGAGGGGAUUGAAGGGUUACCUCUUCUGUCUUUGUACAUAUUACUUUUUAUAUGAUCAGUUUCCUUAUAAUAAUUACAGUAUAAAAGUGAAUAUUUCUAUUUCCCUAGUGAAGGGUUAAAACAUGCUUUAUGAACUCUUAUGUGUUUGCAAUGGAUGCUGCUGCCCUGUGUUAGAUGCCUUUGUCUCUCAUACAGAUACCAGGCUUGUGUGGGUCUGGCAUCCAAGGUCAGCUCUCUACUAGAUGAAACCUGCUUUUUCUACUUCUGUGUGUUACUAAAAGAUCCUUUGUUAAGUUUCGCCUGAUGCAACAUAUAUAACAUCUGCCUGGCAACUGCUAUAUCCAAUUAUGUUAUGUCAAGUAUUAACCACCCCUACGUACCCCACCCAGGCACCUACCCCUAAGCCAAUGAGCCCUUUUACACUUGUCAGUUCCACCCAUAUGCAUUGUCUUAUAUACUCUUGUUAACUUUAUAAUAAACAGUGUGAAUUUUAACUGCUUGUGUGUGCAUGUACCUUGUGGUUAAAAGUUUACACUCCAGACGUCUGUAAGGCCAUCACAUCGAGGGUUAAAGAAAAUAAGGUCAAAUCCUUUCAGGCACUAAGUGGCAUAUCCUUGGGGCCCCUCUAAUCCAUGUGGCCCGGUACAGGUGUCCCCUUUGACUCCCCUGUUGCCAGGCUCGAAUGCGCCCAAGAAAGCUUUCUCAUCUGAUACCAUAUGUUGGCGGAAUAUAUGACUCAUAGAAGUUACUACCUAAAAUGUACUGCAAUCUGCACCCAUGGCCCCCAAGCCGCCUAUCCCAUAGGCCAGGAAAUCUCUAUUCUAAGACGGAGAAACCUGACCUCUUCCCAGCUUACACAAACCAAGGCUGUCACCUCCCCGCCCACCAGGAGGCGGCAGACUUCAAUCACUGACAGUCUGCUGCCGCUCUAGGUCCUAUGUCUCAGGACCCGUCCUACACCCAUCAUCAUAAAGAACCGAUUUUCUGUACAUUGUGCAUGCGCAGAACCGACCGAACCUGAAUUAGUCUCAUUGUGCUCUCUAGGGCCAAUAUUUACUAAUAUUCGUGUUUGAGUCGGUUUGUGUAGUGUUUAAACUCGUUUUGUAUCGGGUGCAUUUUCAUGCAACUUUUUGAAUCCAUAUACGCAAAGUUACGAAGCACUAGACUUUAUGGUUUUCGUGUUUUCCGAUGUCGAUGCCAGUCGGGUUUUUUUGGCACAUUUACGGCCGUCAUUGUCGUUUGCGUACGUGUUUUUGUUGGAUUUGUUAAACGCGGCAGGGUUUUUUUUUCCCCGCGGCCGCAUUUUCACUUUCAGUUUCGAUUUUCUUCCCCGUUCGUGAUUGGUUGUGUUUCAGAUGGUAGGAGUGUCUGUGCGCAACCAUAUAAAUACAUCCCAAACCGUCCGCACCUCGUGGGUUUAGUUAGUGGUGAGGAGGAGGGAGGUUGUGCUGUGGAGGUAGGUGAAUUUGUGGUUUGGUAGUGUUGGUAGCGAUUUCUGAGUGUGGUAUUUUGUUUGAAAGUCGUCUUGUCAUUCUUGUUGUCUUGUAUUUUGUGGUUUUGUCUCAUUUUUAGUCCAAGUUAUUUUUCUUUAUAGUCCCUUGUCAGUGUUUGUGUGUGUGUGUGUGGGUGUGAGUUGUGUAGUGGUAGUGGAGGAGUGUGUUGUUUGUCUUUUUUUUUCCUGUGUUAACUGUUUACAAACACAAUUAUGUGUGACUCAGAGGUGGAGGGUGUGAGUGAGGGGGAGGAGGUCGGUCAGGUGGAGGAGGUGAGUGUUAGUGAGGUUAGUGAGGUCGAGGAGGUGGGUGAGGUUGCUGCAGCAGCCUCAAGUGACAGUGACAGUCAGAGUGCUCCGCAGCCACGCACCACUACUAAGACUGGGCGGAAUGUUAAGUUUAGUUUUGCAGAAAAUGUGGCAUUGGUGCGUGAGCUGAUGAAGUAUCAGAGGCAGCUAUUUGGCCCUGAGUCCGCUAAGGUGCCAACACGGAGGAAGACGGUGUUGUGGGCGAAAGUUGUUGCUGCUGUCAAUAGUGAGAGGGUGGUCAAGCGGACGGAGGACACAUGCCGCAAACGGUACUAUGACAUAAAGCGACGUGUCAAGUCCAAAAUGGCCAAGGAGGCCAAGUCGGCUCGGCAAACCGGUGGUGGGCAGCCCUAUAUUGCAAGAUAUCUGGAGUAUGAGGAGCCCAUGCGGAGUGUCAUACCUCCUGAAGUUGUCCGGAAUUCAGAUAGGCCAAGGAAGAAUGGUGAGCAUGUUUUAUUUUUAUUUUUUUUUUUUUUUAUAUUAAGUUGUAUUUUGUAAUCUGUGUUAUGUGACGUUGCAUAUUACUCCCAUCUUCAAGUGUGUGUUUGCAAAUACAUUGUUUUAUGUCAUGUGUUAGCUAAAAGCCAAUGUAACAUCUUACUUUAUUGUAUGUCAUGUGUUUUUCAGACAGAUAUUUAGCAUGUGUAGUUUGGACUUGUUGUGUCUCUGAUUUGUCCUGCAAUAAUGUUUUCCUUUUAUGCUUUUUUUACGUAAAUUUUUUUGACUAUGGCCCUCAUUCCGAGUUGUUCGCUCGCAAGCUGCUUUUAGCAGCUUUGCACACGCUAAGCCGCCGCCUACUCGGAGUGAAUCUUAGCUUAGCAGAAUUGCGAACGAAAGAUUCGCAAUAUUGCGAAAAGACUUCUCUGUGCAGUUUCUGAGUAGCUCAAGACUUACUCUUCCAGUACGAUCAGUUCAGUGCUUGUCGUUCCUGGUUUGACAUCACAAACACACCCAGCGUUCGCCCAGACACUCUUCCGUUUCUCCAGCCACUCCCGCGUUUUUCCCAGAAACGGUAGCGUUUUUUCACACACUCCCAUAAAACGGCCAGUUUCCGCCCAGAAACACCCACUUCCUGUCAAUCACAUUACGAUCACCAGAACGAAGAAAAAACCUCGUAAUGCCGUGAGUAAAAUUCCUAACUGCAUAGCAAAUUUACUUGGCGCAGUCGCACUGCGGACAUUGUGCAUGCGCAUUAGCGACUAAUCGCUCCGUUGCGAGAAAAAAAUAACGAACGAACAACUCGGAAUGACCCCCUAUGUUUUAUAUAUAAGUGAACCAUGUUUUUUGGAAUUAAAAUAAGUCCUUGUCAUGUUAGAGGCUGGAGUACUGGAAAGUGGUUUGUAAACCACUUACAUGUGUAAUGUCAUCUUAACAGAAUGGUGUGUUUUUUUAAAAAAAUUCCAAUUUUUUUUCCGUUGGCUUCUAUUUGUACCGUGACACCAUACUGCAUUUUUUGUAAACUUUACUUUUGCUUGUUUUUUUGUGUGGUCAUAUAGUGGUAAUGUGUAUUUGGAGUGCCACAUCACAGAGCCAAUUAGAUAUUGCAUCUGUAUUAUUUUUAAAAACAAUACAAAAUUAUUAUUAUUAUUUUUUUUUAAAUAAAAACCCAUUCCUUUAACUUGUUGCCUAUGUCAGUGUCCUGUACAUGUUUGCCUGUCUUGAUGUUGCCAUAGUGUUUUUUUUUUAAUUUUAUUUUUUAUUUGGUAUUUCUGGUCCUUAUGUUUUUUUGAAGUAAAAAACAAGCAUUUCUAAAGGAAAAAAUGUUUAUAAGCAUAAUGGGUGGAUGUAUACACAAUAGCAUGAUUUAUGAAUAUAUCUCAUUUUAUACAGUGUCUGAAAAAAGCAGUACUACUCGUCGGCCAGUAAAUCCUAACACAUCUGAUGAUGAUGACGCUGCGGAAGCAGGUCCAUCAAAAGAAGUAUGGAGCAGCAGAAGUGGCUCUUCUGUUAGACAUCACCACAAGAAAUUUGUGGCCGAAAAGAAAGCAAGGUCGUUUGCCCCGCCACAAACACAGCAGGCUACCCCGCCACGAAGAUUAUCGUCCGUAUGUUCUGUCCCCCCACUCCAAAUUUUGGACACACCUCCAAGACGUCAUCCACACUCCCCUCAUCUUGAUUCUUCGAGUCCUGGGAACAGCAUCCCUCCGCAACAACACCAACACAGUGACAUGGAGGAGACAAACAUCUUAGAAAUGCAGCCAUUAAUGCAAGGAAUGAGCCCCCAGCACCUGUGAGUACACCACCACAGCAAAGCACACCACCCCCACCACAACACAGCCCAACAACACCAGGAACACAAGGUCCUGAUCAGGUGUUUUGGACUAUUUGGGCCAGACAGCAGGCCACUAAUGAAGAUUGCCUGCGUAAGCAGACACAAAUGUUUGCAAGCCUACCAUCUCACCUCAGAAGAAUCUCAAGAAAUCUGAGUCGCCAAAAUGAGCAAACAACCAGAAUAGGCAAUACCAUGGAACUCAUGCGUACAGACAUUACACAGGUCAUGGGCAACUUACAGCGCAUAAUGGAAGAACAGCACAGACUAAUGGAAGAACAGCACAGACUAAUGGAAGAACAGCACAGACAACAGCAAAUUUAUAUGAGCAUUUUUCAAAACAGUCAAAAGAUUAAUGAAAGUUUAUUCAGAAUAGUAGACAAUCAAAAUGCUGCGACACGUGAACUCAAUGCCACCCUCACUAACCUGAAUGAAACACUCAGAUGCAUGCACCAACAGCAAACAACCAGCAGUUCUGGUACGACUACUCCAAAUAUCACGCCAGUCUCAUCACCACCAAGACGGUCCACCAGAGCACGCCAACAUGACAGUGCUAAAGGCAAAGGGCAGGACAAGCAGCCACCAAAAAAAAAACAUAACAAAAAUAAGUUAGACAUUUGUGAUAAGUAAAGUUAGCAAGUGUUUUUGAUGCUUUACAAAAUAGCACACUUAGCUCCUUGCCCCUUUUUUUAACAUCAUUAAUUAUAAGUGCACCAAAUUAAGUGUCAAAAAAAGUACGCACAUUUAUUCCUUGUCAUUUUUUUGGGGUAUUGUAGGAGGAAAAUGUUGAUGGAGCCACACAUACAUGUUAGCAGGAAGUAAACUGACCACUUGAUUUUUUUCUAAUCAUUACUCUUUCUAGAUUCCAAUCAUUCUCUUUGCCUGCAGAUACAAUAAUUGCCAGCCAGGCAGAAUGUCUUUAGCAGGAAGUAAACUGACCACUUGAUUUUUUUCUAAUCAUUACUCUUUCUAGAUUCCAAUCAUUCUCUUUGCCUGCAGAUAAUCCAAAUUACAAUGUUAGUGAUACAUAUCUUAGCUAGCUUAUCUAUACAACAUUACAAGAUGAACACAAUUGAGUGGCAUAAAAGGCUUGUAAUAUGUUGCCUUUGUUUUGUUUAUAAAACAUUGUCCAAAUGAAUGUCAGUAUUGUUGGGACAGGUUUGUGUAUGCUAAAAAUUAUUAAGCAUGUUUUUACACAUGAUGCUGAAACAAACAAAUAUGUACUUUUACACAAUUUAAAAAAAACUUUAUAAUAAUGUAUAUGUGUGGCAAACUGUGUAUUUACUUACACAUCAUCAAGUUUACAGCAUCAAACAUUAGGAAAUAAAUUAUUCCUGAUUACAGUAAGUUUGUGAGUCUUAAAUAUGAUGGUGCGUCACACAUAGGGACACAUGUAUUCCUCAAGGCAAACAUAUUAUAUGUUGAGGAGUGUUUUUUGGGAACACAGGUUCUCAAACUCGGCCAUCAGGAACCCACACAGUGCAUGUUUUGUAGGUCUACUCACAGAAUCACAAGUAACAUAAUUAGCUCCACCUGUGAACCUUUUUACAUAUGUCUGUGAGUAAUUCAUACACCUGUGCUUCUACUGGGUUACGAGAAAAACAUGCACUGUGUGUGGUCCUGGGGGCAGAGUUUGUGAACCUGUGCAUUAGGACAUUACACACAAUGAUAAAGUGAAAUAAAAAAUGGAUGAUGUGGGCUUGUAAGAAAUUAGCACUGUAAGAUUUCGAACACUUAUCCAGACUUAAUACAUGGCACUCAUAAUCUGUUGUUUUGAUAUUAAAAUCCACACAAUACACAUGCCACAUUUGUUGAUCAUAUAGCGAGGGUAUGUUUGUAUGUGUCAAGGAGACAGACACAUUCUGAGUAAUGGUUUUUGAAAAAAAACCAAAACAUCUAUUUAUGAAGACACAACAAAUGAAAUAAGCAAACCAAGCUUACCUUAAAAAAAACUAUUGAUGAUGUGUUGCCUAACCUGCCUCCCUACAUCAGUACUCCAAGUAUCACCAGAUGUCUCUAAUUCCUCUGCUUUCUGGCUGCUUUCUUCCUCCUCCUCCUCCUCCUCAACAUGUGGCAGAUGUUGUUGCAAACACAUGUUAUGAAGAAAGCAGCAGCAGAACACAAUUUGAGUCACCUUGGAGGGACUAUACAACAAAAGGCCACCAGACUUAUCCAGACACCGAAACCUAGAUUUCAGCACACCAAAACAUCUUUCUAUCACAUUCCGCGUGGACUUAUGUGCAUGAUUGUAUUUGUGUUCAGCAGGGGUAUCAGGUCGGGACAAUGGAGUUAGAAGCCAAGAGAAACAGCCAUAUCCUCCAUCACCUAA